AAUUUUAAGGUCAAGCUACAAAGGGCGCAUGGUGAAUGCCUUGGCACUAGGAGCCGAAGAAGGACGCGAUAAGCUGCGAUAAGCCUUGGGUAGCCGCAAAUAGGCUGAGAUCCAGGGAUUUCCGAAUGAGG
rnacentral:rRNA from 1 species